ensembl:lncRNA
GAUCCUUAACCUACUGUGCCAAGCCAGGGAUCGAACCCACGUCCCAGAGCUCCAAAGACACUGCUGAUCCCGAGCUCCUUUGUGGCACAGUAGGUUAAGGAUCCACUUGUUGUGACUACAGCAGCUUGGGUCACUGCUGUAAUGUGGGUUCAAUUCCUGGCCCAGGAAUUUCCACAUGCCAUGAGUGUGGCCAAAAAUAAAAUAAAAUAGGCCUCCUUUAAUAUCUAUCCACAGAUUUUAUAAUUUUUUCCAUAAAGGUCAUGCACAUAAUUUACUAGGUUUAUUCUCUAGUAUCUUUUUUGGAGGUAGACACUGUAAGUAGUAUAUUUUUAUAAUUUUUUUCUUUUGGCCACAACAUGCUGGAGUUCCCAGGCCAGGGACUGAAUUCGCGCCACAGCAGUGAUGCGAGCAGUAAUGAUGUCAGAUGCUCAGCCUCGACCCUCAACCCUAGGCCACCAGGAAACUCCCUAUAAAAUAUUUUUUGGCUGUUUUGAUACUGAGGGAUAGAAAUGCCAAACCUUUGCAAAACUCCAAUCACUUUUCUACAGCUCUGCUCUCUAUUUGGGAACCCACCCUCACCUCUGCCCCCACCCCAUGCCUUCUUGCCAACUCUCACUUGGUCCUUCGUGUUCUUUUCAGACAUCCCUCCCUUUGAGAAGCCUGUCCUCACCCAUGUUCAGGGUUAGGUGUCCUCUUUUGCUUUGCCCAAUUGCCCUUUGUCAUUAUACUUCAUCACUCUGUGUUGUAACUGGAAUUCUCCACUCAGCACCAUGACUGGGGCCUUUGAACUCUGAAAUCAGACCUGUUACACUCCUCUCAGAACCCUUCAAUGCCUUCCCAUGGGGCAUAUGAUGGAAUAAUAGUUCUUUUUUUUUUUUUUGGUCUUUUUGCCAUUUCUUGGGCCACUCCCGAGGCAUAUGGAGGUUCCCAGGCUAGGUGUCGAAUCAGAGCUGAAGCUGCUGGCCUUCACCAGGGCCAUAGCAACGCGGGAUCCGAGCCGCAUCUGCAACCUACACCACAGCUCACGGCAACGCCGGAUCGUUAACCCACCGAGCAAGGCCAGGGAUCGAACCCGCAACCUCAUGGUUCCUAGUUGGAUUCGUUAACCACUGCGCCACGACAGGAACUCCAAUAGUUCUUAUAACAUGGUCCUGGUAUCACCUCUGACCUCUGUUCCCCAGCUCACUCUACUCUGUUCCAGCCACAUUGACUUUCUUGGUGUUCCUUGAACAUAUCGAGUAUGCUCCUGCCCCAGGGCCUUGGUACUUGCCUUACUGUGGUACUGAUGUUCCUACACAAAUGUCAUUUUCUCUGGGAGGCUUUUCCUGACUAUUUUAUCUAAAAUAGUACCUCCCAUUACUCUCUGUCCUGCUUUGUUUUUCCUCUGAGUACCUCUCAUCUGUGUGUGUGUUUGUACUGUGUGUGUAUGUAUAUAUGUUUAUGGUCUGUAUUUCAUGAGGCCAGAAACUUUAUUUUGUUCAUGGUGUAUAUUCAACUCCUGGCUCAUAGUGGACACCCAGUGAAUGUUUAUUGAAUAAAUAGGUGAAUGAUUUACUUGAUUCAUCCACUAAGAAGUAAGAGCAGUGUUUUUACGUCUAUAAUGGGAAACGUAGUGGAAACUCAAGCGUUUUUUGUUUUGGGAAAUAGUGAACACUCAAGUUUUUUGGUAUUUUUUUUCCCAUUUCUAAUUUCUAUACUUUCCCUCCAAGAUAGCAGAAAGUUCCGCUUAUUUAUGUGCUAAGGGGAAAGAGAGAGGGAAGAGCUGAAAUUGGGAAAGGAGAGAGGAUAACUGAUGGAGCAAGGUUCCUGGGAGAUGCCAAAAGAUGGAAUCCAAAGAUAGUGGCUCUGCCUUGAGCAGGAGUAAGGACCAGCAUUCCUCUGGGAUAGGAGGAAUGACAGUGAAGGUGAGGACAGAUAGCAGACAACACAACUGUCCUCUCUUGGGCAGGAAGUGGAGACAAUUGGUGCCGACAGCUGUGAUGGUCUCAGUGGAACAGAGGGCAGCUGUUGCUCUUGGGGCAGAGGUGUUGGUGUAUCUUCAGCCUUUCCCUCUCAGCUCUUUGGCAUAGAAAUCAACUGAAUUAUCUUCCCAUUUUGAACAACAGCGGCUCUCUAACCUUCCCUUUGUGGUCAAGCUCCUGAAAGAGCAGUUUUCAAGUCACCGUGUUUUACUUUCCCAAAUUCCAAAGACUUUAUUGCAUCCUCACUUCUGUCCCUCCCUCUCUUCAGAAACCGCCACUGCUUUGGGUUGUAGAUUGGAAAAGAACUCUAGUCGGUUUGACCCCUCUGUAACAUUUAACCUGGUUGGCCACCCCUCUGACCUGGACCUUCCCUCUGCUGCUGUCUGUGACCCUACUCUUUACUGGCUUUACUUGGUCUUUCCAGCCAGUCCCAUUUCUGCUCAGAUCUUUUGCUCUCUUUGUCUACUCACCUCUUUAAGUUUGUUACACCCCAGGGUUCAGCUCUAGGACUUCCUUACUUCUUACUCUAUAUCUUUACCUUGAGUGGUUUUCCCCAGAACUCUGGCUCUAACCACCAUUAUAUGCUGCUGAUGCCCUGUUACAUCUCCAGGGCAAGUAUCUGGCCUGAGCUCCAGACUCAUUUGCUGGGCUGUCUCUUGAACCCCUGCCCUGGGUGUGCCACAGACUCAGAGCUAAACUCAUCAGCUUACUGCGUUCCUGCUUAAUUCUUUCUUCAUUGUAGGAAUUGCCACCAUCUUCUACCCACAUGUUCACACCAGGGGGUUGCUUUGCUUUGUUUUCUUUCUGAAUGAAAACCUUAAGAAUUUUGUUUUAUAAUCAGCUAAAGUGUAGGAAAAAAGAAAAUAAAAAUUCCUCAUAAUUAUGCAGUUCAGUUAUAGUCAGUGGCAGUAUUUAAUAUAUUUUCUCUCAGUUUUUAUUUUUGUUUACUUUUGUUCAAAAUUCAUUUACUUUUAUGCAUCUUUACUUUGUAUAAAUUGUUUUCAUGAGAUUUGCUUUAUCAUUCAAUUGUUUUUAAAAACAUUUUUUUCUCUGCUUGAUAUUUGUUUUUGUUUAAAUUUUAUUGGAGUAUAGUUGACUUACAAUAUAUUGAUUUCAGAUAUACAGCGAAGUGACUCAGUUAUCUAUAUACAUAUAUCCAUUCUUUUUCAGUUUGCUUGAUAUUUGAGUAGUGUAUGAAUGACAUUUAGCCAGUCUCAUGUGAGACUCUUACCUUUUUAUUUUUUUAUGUUAUAAAUAAUACUGCAGUAAACACCUUGGUGCAGGUGAUUGUAGGACAAGCUCCCAGAAGCAGAUGAAAAGAUAAGGACAUAAAGAACACUUUGUCCUUCUGAUUGCAAAAGUAGCAUGUUUGGGUAUGAAGUUUUCUAUUUAUUUAUUUUUUUUAUUUUGUUUUUUUAGGGCCAUACUCGCAGCAUAUGGAGGUUCCCAGGCUAGGGGUUGAAUCAGAGCUGUAGCUGCUGGCCUACACCACAGCCACAGCAACACCAGAUCUGAGCUGCAUCUGUGACCUAUACCACAGCUCAUGUCAACGCUGGAUCCUUAACCCUCUCAGCGAGGCCAGGAAUCAAACUUGCAACCUCAUGGUUCCUAGUUGGAUUUGUUUCUGCUGUGCAUGACAGGAAUACCGGAAGUUUUUAAUUUUUAAAAAUCGUUAUUUCCAAAUUGUCCUCCAGAAAGAUUAUAAUAUGCUAUUUUUGGAAGUAAUUUUUUGCUCCAUCUCCUUUCUGUCUCCUCUGUGUUUCCUCCCAGCCAUCAGUCACCAAUUUUUGUAGAUUCUGCAAUGCUUAUAUCUACUGAAUUCAUCCUUUUCUUGCCAUCUUACAGCUGCCACUUAGUUCAGAUUCUUAGUAAUGUCAUACAUGGAUUUCUGCUAGGAUGGCCUUCUAACUGGUCUCUCUUUGUUUCUAAUCUUGUCCCUCUGUCCACUGGGAUGACUGAGGUUGCUGCUCUCCUGCUUGAAAUCAAUUAGUGGUUCCCCAUUUCCUCCCCUUAGACUCUACAUCUUGGCAAACCUUCAGAGCCAGCUCUGCCCUGCCCCUUAUCUCUCAGAAAAAGAUUUGGAAUUUCCCAUAAGAGAUACACUUUCACAUCUCAGUUCCACUUCAUGUCCCCCUUUUUCCCUUUUUUCUUUUUGGCUGUACCCAUAACAUGUAGAAGUUUCCAGGACGGGGAUUGAACCCACAUCACAGCAACCUGAGCCACUGCAGUGACAAUGCUGGAUCCUUAACCCACUGCACCGCAGGGGAAUUCUCAGGUCCUGUUUCUUCUUCCUGGAAUGACCUUGCUUCUCCUCUUCUGGGUAACAUUUCUGUGUAGUCAAGAAGCAGAGGUAGGUGCUGCUUCUUGUAGUACUUCUACCUCAGAUUCCAACUUAGGUUAGGGGUUUAUAAUGAUCACAUUUGACUAGAUGAGAAGCUUUGUGAAAUCAGGGAUUGUGUCUGUCUUAUUUAUUGUGGUAUCGUUAGUGCUGAGCCAAAAACUUUAGUGUGCUAAUGAAUCAGCAAGGGUGCUUGUUAAAUGCAGAUUCAGAUUCUGUAGAUCUGGUGAGGCCUGAGAUUCUGCAUCUCUAACCAGCAUCUAGGUGAUUGCUGGUGCUGUUGGUCUGAGGUCAGCAUUUUGAUAGCAAGAUCUUAAGAGUAUAGUGUUUGAUAAAUGUUUGUUGAAUGUAUGUGCAAAUGAAUGAAUGGUGAAAGAACUAUUAAUUCACUGAAACAUUUAUUUCUUACAUUUAGGCAAUUAAGAAAAGAGUGAUCAUUGACUCUUUCUGGACAGAAAAGAAAAAACUUGAAAAGAAAAAAAUUAAACAAUUCAUGGUUUAGAUUAUUUGAAACUAAGACUUUCUGUGUCCAUCCCUGUAUAGGUGAAGUAUUUUGUGGAGUAAUUCUUUUAUUCUCUUAAUUAGUGGUAAAACAUUUAGACCAGAAGUUUUAAGUAACUUUUUUUUUAAAGUUGAAGAUCUCUGUACAUUAGAGAUUUUAUUUAUAAGUCCAGUGUGUAAAACAGCUGCUCUGGUUGAAUGAAAUCUGAAUGGAGACGCCAGAACCCCCCUUACUUGGCAUCCUGCCUCUUAGGCUGCUCUCGAAAGAGCACAAGUUGAAAACUUCUGAUUUAGAUCAUCUAUCUUAGUUGGAGCUGUGUUUGAGCCAACCUCUAUGGUUGCUAGAAUGGUUUCCUAACUGCCAGGAGCCCUCAUUAAUUGUGCGCAUGCUUCUAAGAGAAUAUGGAUACUUGAAACUAACAGACAAAUGGAACGGUGUGUACAACAUAAUGAUCACAUUUUGAUAGGAGAAAAUAAACCCCCAGAUUGAAAUUGUAUUCAAUAUUGGAAAGGCAACCGUGGUGAAAUACUGGUAUUAGAACAACGCUGAAGGGGAGGACAGUGACUUAACAAAGAAAUAAUCUAUAAAGGAGUUCCCAUGGUGGCACAGGGGAAGCGAUCCAACUAGGAACGAUGAGGUUGUGGGUUUGAUCCCUGGCCUCGCUCAGUGGGUUAACGAUCCAGCGUUGCCAUGAGCUGUGGUGUAGGUUGCAGAUGUGGCUUGGAUCUGGCGUGGCUGUGGUGUAGGCCAGCAGCUGUAGCUCCGAUUAGACCCCUAGCCUGAGAGCCUCCACAUGCUGUGAGUGCGGCCCUAAGAAGCAAAAAAAAAAUUGUAUAAGAAGUUUGAUGCUUACAGAAAAAUACCUUAUAUGGUGGAAUGUAUGUCAAUGGCCAGAAAUAUUAAUUGCUUAGCAGAAAUCCUUAAAAUAGCUGUCAAAAUCAGAUUCUGUUAUAAGGAGAAAAUGGAAAUUAUUGAUAAAGAAAACUAGGAAGCUGUGUCCCUGGUGAAACUUCAUACUGUCUUCUUUUUUUUAUUCCAUCCAGCAGCCAUCAGGUGAAUGUCUAGACAGGGGCAGUACUGUUAGUAUCUAGUUGCAGUGCUUUCCUGCCCAUAAUUGGCUUUUCUCUU